rnacentral:rRNA from 1 species
CCUUGAGGUCGGGGACAACAGUUGGAAACGACUGCUAAUACCGGAUGAGCUGAGAAGUAAAAGAUUUAUCGCCUCAAGAGGAGCUCGCGUCUGAUUAGCUAGAUGGUGGGGUAAAAGCCUACCAUGGCGACGAUCAGUAGCUGGUCUGAGAGGAUGAGCAGCCACACUGGGACUGAGACACGGCCCAGACUCCUACGGGAGGCAGCAGUGGGGAAUUUUCCGCAAUGGGCGCAAGCCUGACGGAGCAAUACCGCGUGAGGGAGGAAGGCUCUUGGGUUGUAAACCUCAAAACUUAGGGAAGAAAAAAAUGACGGUACCUAAUAUAAGCAUCGGCUAACUCCGUGCCAGCAGCCGCGGUAAUACGGAGGAUGCAAGCGUUAUCCGGAAUCAUUGGGCGUAAAGCGUCCGUAGGUGGCAUUUAAGUCUGCUGUCAAAGACCGAAGCUCAACUUCGGGCCGGCGGUGGAAACUGAAAAGCUAGAGUAUAGUAGGGGUAGAGGGAAUUCCUAGUGUAGCGGUGAAAUGCGUAGAGAUUAGGAAGAACACCAGUGGCGAAGGCGCUCUACUGGGCAUAUACUGACACUGAGGGACGAAAGCUAGGGGAGCGAAAGGGAUUAGAUACCCCUGUAGUCCUAGCGGUAAACGAUGGAUACUAGGUGUUGUCUGUAUCGACCCGGACAGUGCCGAAGCAAACGCGUUAAGUAUCCCGCCUGGGGAGUACGCACGCAAGUGUGAAACUCAAAGGAAUUGACGGGGACCCGCACAAGCGGUGGAGUAUGUGGUUUAAUUCGAUGCAACGCGAAGAACCUUACCAAGGCUUGACAUCCUGCGAAUUUUGGGGAAACUCGAAAGUGCCUUAGGGAACGCAGAGACAGGUGGUGCAUGGCUGUCGUCAGCUCGUGUCGUGAGAUGUUGGGUUAAGUCCCGCAACGAGCGCAACCCUCGUCCUUAGUUGCCAUCAUUAAGUUGGGGACUCUAGGGAGACCGCCGGGGAGAACUCGGAGGAAGGUGGGGAUGACGUCAAGUCAGCAUGCCCCUUACGUCUUGGGCUACACACGUACUACAAUGGUUGAGACAAAGGGAAGCGAAACUGCGAAGUGGAGCGAAUCCUGUCAAACUCAGCCCCAGUUCAGAUUGCAGGCUGAAACUCGCCUGCAUGAAGGAGGAAUCGCUAGUAAUCGCAGGUCAGCAUACUGCGGUGAAUCCGUUCCCGGGUCUUGUACACACCGCCCGUCACACCAUGGAAGUUGGUCAUGCCCGAAGUCGUUACCUUAACCGUUUACGGAGAGGGAUGCCGAAGGUGGGACUAGUGACUGGGGUGAAGUCGUAACAAGGUAGCCGUACCGGAAGGUGUGGCUGGAUCACCUCCUUAAAGGGAGACUUCUUGAGAAGUCAAUCAAGAGUGUAGAAAAUGGCUUUUAAACUAGAGAGAGGGUUCAUGGGCUUGGGCUAUUAGCUCAGGUGGUUAGAGCGCACCCCUGAUAAGGGUGAGGUCCCUGGUUCAAGUCCAGGAUGGCCCAUUACUCACAGGAGUAGAAAGGGGGUAUAGCUCAGUUGGUAGAGCGCCUGCUUUGCAAGCAGGAUGUCAGCGGUUCGAGUCCGCUUAUCUCCAGGAACAAUUCAGCAUCGAAAAAAGAAUGCUGGACAAUUGUUCAGUAAGAACCUUGAAAACUGCAUAAAAAAAGUAGGUAGAAAAGCUGUAGAAAUCACAGACAGUC